UAAAACAGUGUGUGAAGACUAGAGAGCUUAUUCGGGUCUGGGUCGCGGUGGCAGCAAAGCAAGCAGCUCAUCCCACACUUCCCUAUCCAUGGCCAAG